GACGAACGCUGGCGGCGUGCUUAACACAUGCAAGUCGAACGCUGAAGACCUGGCUUUUGUUGGGUUGGAUGAGUGGCGAACGGGUGAGUAACACGUGAGUAACCUGCCCUCUUCUUUGGGAUAACGCCCGGAAACGGGUGCUAAUACUGGAUAUUCACUGGCCUUCGCAUGGGGGUUGGUGGAAAGGUUUGUUCUGGUGGGGGAUGGGCUCGCGGCCUAUCAGCUUGUUGGUGGGGUGAUGGCCUACCAAGGCUUUGACGGGUAGCCGGCCUGAGAGGGUGACCGGUCACAUUGGGACUGAGAUACGGCCCAGACACCUACGGGAGGCAGCAGUGGGGAAUAUUGCACAAUGGGCGAAAGCCUGAUGCAGCGACGCCGCGUGAGGGAUGGAGGCCUUCGGGUUGUAAACCUCUUUCGCUCAUGGUCAAGCCGCAACUGUGGGUUGUGGUGAGGGUAGUGGGUAAAGAAGCGCCGGCUAACUACGUG
rnacentral:rRNA from 1 species